GCUCAACCGAGGAAGUGCUUCGAAAACUGGUAAACUUGAGUGCAGAAGAGGAAAGUGGAACUCCAUGUGUAGCGGUGGAAUGCGUAGAUAUAUGGAGGAACACCAGUGGCGAAGGCGGCUUUCUGGUCUGUAACUGACGCUGAGAUUCGAAAGCAUGGGUAGCAAACAGGAUUAGAUACCCUGGUAGUCCAUGCCGUAAACGAUGAGUGCUAAGUGUUGGAGGGUUUCCGCCCUUCAGUGCUGCAGCUAACGCAUUAAGCACUCCGCCUGGGGAGUACGACCGCAAGGUUGAAACUCAAAGGAAUUGACGGGGGCCCGCACAAGCGGUGGAGCAUGUGGUUUAAUUCGAAGCAACGCGAAGAACCUUACCAGGUCUUGACAUACCAUGAAAAGCUUAGAGAUAAGUCUUUCCCUUCGGGGACAUGGAUACAGGUGGUGCAUGGUUGUCGUCAGCUCGUGUCGUGAGAUGUUGGGUUAAGUCCCGCAACGAGCGCAACCCUUAUUAUCAGUUGCCAGCAUUCAGUUGGGCACUCUGGUGAGACUGCCGGUGACAAACCGGAGGAAGGUGGGGACGACGUCAAAUCAUCAUGCCCCUUAUGACCUGGGCUACACACGUGCUACAAUGGUCGGUACAACG
rnacentral:rRNA from 1 species